CAGCUUUCAGACAGAUCACAUUCCUUCUUCCCUUUCCUCCCGAUUCUCUCUGUUCAUUGGAAACGUUUCGUUUCCUUCCGAUUUCUCUCAAAUUCAAUCGACUGCUUCGACUUUGCUUCUCCGCUCGCUUCUCUGGUUGUGUGGAGUUUUGCAUUUGAGAAUCUUGAAAUGAAUCUGUAAAAUGCAAUCUUUAUAAUGUUAUUAAGGUUUGAGCUCACCAUUACAACGUAAUGGCCUCAAACCCCAUGGAGGAGUCCUAAUCAUAAUGUAUCUUUGUUUUUUAACUGGGUACAAAUUGCAAUGGUGGUGGUUCUGCUAUUUGGGGUUUGAGGACUAAUUAUAAUGUAUAUAAUUUUCAUUUAGUUUGAGGACAAACUACAAUUGUAUAAUGGAUUGUAUUAUUACGGGUUC